GCCUAGUUAGCUUGGUUGGUAGCGCGUCUGCCUUGUAAGCGCUAGGCCGCGGGUUUGAUUCCCGCCCGGGGCG
rfam:Asian citrus Psyllid, Diaphorina citri - Florida Strain, whole genome shotgun sequence.